UGCCCAAGAGCUCUGGAUCUAGGCCCUCGGCAAAGGCCCAGUCAACAUAGACUAGGCCGACUAACCCUAACUGGCCCACUCACCAUGCGCAUGCCCACACGUCCUCGGCCACCUCGCGACCCGCACCGUCGCUGUCGAAUCUGAAAUUUCAAGUAUCUUUUUCAUGGAACACAUCGAGGACCUUGUGGGAAAAGUAUUUUUAAAUUAUAUAAAAUGUAAAUGAAUUUUGAAAAUCACGAAACUUGUUGUGGUGUCAUGUUAUCGCGUGUAUAGGUUGUGAUAAAAAAUUGUAUCUGAUGCGUAAAACCUAGACGUCACAUCACAUGCGGAGAUAAUCUACGGAAAUGUUUUGACUACAUAUAUCUAUAGAAAUGUUUUCACUACAUAUACUCAUUAAGUGAGUGUGCAUAUCUCGGACAUGGAGACUAAAUGAAAUCUGUUAGUUUUUUUUUCUAAUUACUCACUUCGUUCCAAAUUAUAAGAUGUUUUGGCAUUGUCCAAAUUCAUUCUUUAUGCUACGAAAUGCUAAAAUAUCUUAUAAUUUGGAAGUAUAGCAUACCCUGUUCAAGAUUUUGGAAGGGAGAACUUGAAUGCCACAGGAAGCCCCUUUUAGAUCUGCUCAGUGGUGGUUAUGGCGGUCAGGGUCAUCACGGGUGGCCGCUGCAUUCCAUGCGGUGUUGCUAACGCCCGGACGUCCGGUGCGUGAGUGUGUCAGACGCCGGGCCUUCCCCCCGCUCGCUCUUCAUAUAGAAAAUAAAAAAAAGAAAAUUAGGUUUGCUAAGCCGAUUAUGUCCGUCCCCACGUUCCUUCCCUCCACUCGUCGUACAAGACUCGCCCUGUCUCCCACGUGCACGGGAUCUACUUGCCCCUAACCUCGCCGCCCCCUAAGCCGAUCCCGUCCGUCCCCGCGUCCCUAUUCCUCCACUCCCCGUGCAACAACUCGCCCUGCCUCCCACAUGCACGGGAUCUGCCCGCCACCAACCUCGCCGGCCCCCAGCACCUCCGAUCCGCCCAUCGCCAGCUCACCCCUACACCCCGUCCAGCACCGGCUGCAACAACAAAAAAACAAGCUAUUGAAACAAUGAAAGAACAUCUGAUGAAACAAACGGAAAAAAACUGCUGCAACAAACAAAAAAAUCUAUUGCAACAUCGAAAGAACAUAUAAUGAAACAAAACAAAAAUAUGAACUACAACAUAAAAAAAAUAUCUACUACAACAUUCAAACACAUUCACUGCAACAUCAGGGGGGAUCUGCAGCAACAAUGAAAAAGAGCUAUUGCAACAUCUCAAACACUGCUACGGCAACAUCAGAAAAUGCCUGUUGCAACAAUCCAAAAAAAAAUACUAUUACAACAUUUUCAAGUCAUCCGUUGCAACAUUGAAAAAGAACAAUUCCAACAACGACGAGAUAUGACUCUCAACGGCUCGCCGAAACCCUAGCCACCGCCGCAUACGUUAGAUCCAGACCCAGAGAGUGGAGAACGAGAACGAGGAUAAGGCCAAGCUUGGUCUAGAGGGAGGAGGAGGAGGAGGAGGAGGAGGAGGAAGAAGAAGAAGAAGAAGAAGAAGAAGAAGAAGAAGAAGAAGAAGAAGAAGAAGAAGAAGAAGAAGAAGAAGAAGAAGGUUGAGAUCUAGGCGAGGACCUCACCUACCUCGUGGGGACGUGGGGAAGCCGCCGUCGUUGCUCUCCCUCUCCAAAUGCAUGGAGGCCGCGGCGAAAAGUGAGAACAACCGGGGUAGGUGCGGGCACUAGUAUGGGGGGAGGAGCCGUCGGGGUGGUUGAGGAUGAUGUCGCGGUGGAGGAGGAGAACGUCGAGGUUGAGGACGAUGCGGUGCGGGCGGAGAUGGCCGUGGUGGCCAGUAGAGUGGCUAAGUGCGCCGGUGGAGAUGGAGGGCAUCCAAGCGGAGGUGGCAUGGGCGGCGCAGGCGAGUGGAGUCGUAGAGUGGGCGUGUGAUGCGGGCUGGGUUCAUGAAUGAGUGGAUGAAGAUGAGCGGUUGGGUCCAUAAAUGAGUGGAUGAGGAUCGUCCGGACGGAAGUCACAGGAUGGACGCCCGCAACAGAGCAUUACUGCAUUCCAUGGCCUCGGCCUCCACACAGGGGUGAGAUGCCUUGUCGAGCACCUUCGCCGGCUGAUGUGGCAAUAUUUUUUUUAGGAAAUCCGUGGAGCAUUACUCCCCAUGUCACAUGUAUAUAAAGUAAAAACACAAGUGCCAAUUAUAGGGGUGUUAAGAGCAUCUCCAAGAGCUUAGCUAAAAUGAGUAGCUAAAUUCUAAUAUUUAGUCAUUUUGUAAAAUAGAUAACUUCUUAAAAAAGAAGAGGUUACCAACAGCCUUGCUAUCAGAUAGCUAGUGCCAGUGGUUGGCUAUAUAUGGCCAACGAAACUCAAGGGAUAGCAAACUUUCUAUUUUACAAAACCAAAUAGCACAUCUGUUGGAGCCUAUUUUUCUACUACAAAAAUUCUAAAAGGCCUUCAUAAUAAGAAUAGUAAAGCUGUUGGAACUAGGCGCUAACCACAAAGAUAUAAGAAGGAAAAGAAGAAGGGAAUAUUAGCAGGGGACGAAUUGGAAGCCGGGGAGUAUGGAAUGCCGAGUCGCCGACUGCGGUGCCGCGGCCUUUUUGAGUUUGGGCCUUCUUCAUGUUAGGCCGGCCAGCUCGUAACGGUGGGUUCAAUUUAGCCCAGGAGCAGAUUCCGCUCAAAGCAAUAUAAUAAGGCCUGGUUUAGUUUCUAAAAAGUUUUAAGAUUUCAUAUCCCAUCGAAUCUUUAGACAUAUACAUAAAGCAUUGAAUAUAGAUAAAAUAAAAAUUAAUUGCACAAUUUAUCUGUAAUAGCAAAUAUGCCCG
rnacentral:lncRNA from 1 species